rnacentral:lncRNA from 1 species
UUCCCAUGUAAUAAAGAUAAUCUAGUUUAUCUCCAGAUAACUUAUCAAUUUGCCGAGAUAAACCAAGCGGUUCUACGAAAAACCUGUUUUCAUAAUAAUAUACGACGCGAAAGCAACCGCAACUUUGUAAUUUUUGUUUUUAAACUUGGGUGUAACGGGUUAUUAAGUAAGGACUACAGAGGGAUACGCUAUGCCACCGCAUGAACACUUGAUCCUGUCAUCGGAGCCAGUGAAGAGCGACCAGCCUCGGGCGCCGCCCCCGCCACCCCCAGGGCGCAUACAGAGGCCCCCUCACGACAACCCCUCGGUUUUUAUGGUCAGAAACCAGAAUCCUCAGAGAAACAACCCUGUUAGUGUGCAAAGACAUUGAGCCCAAACUGUGUAAAAUGGCCCUGAUGCCUGCAGACUUAAUUUUAUUUUAAGUUAUACCCGUCAUUUUCUUAUCCGCCGAAAAAGAAAGGGACUAAAGAAUAAUCCGGGAGAAUAAUAUAAGCAUCUCGCUCAUAUGCAAUCCUUUUGACGUGUCAAUUUAAUUCUCCCGGGUUAUUGGCCAAUAUAAAAUUGUGGGAGGGUUUUUUAAAUUUCUACCUAACAUUGACGUGUGUUCCAUAAAUAUGACUGUCGAUUCCCGUCCCUUCAGUUUUGACGGGUAUAAGUUAAAAUAAACUUAGAUAAAAAUAUAGUAGAAGGAAUAAGAGAAAAAUAUCUACUUUUAGUUAAUUAGGAAUUAUAGUCAAAUUAUAAGAUGUAUUUUUAAGUAAUAUAGAUAAAUAAGAGAUAAUGACUUUGCCUCGUAAUAUGGAACACAUAAGCUCACGAAGCCCCAAUUGGGGUAGUCAGAGGAACGUCCAUCCCAAGACAAACUUAGGACCCACACUUUACCAAGGUUUCUGUUAGACCAACGUAAUAUUUGGUGAGCCGUAUCGCCGUUAAUAAGCAUAACAAGGGUAACAAUAAAAAAGUAUUCAAAAUUAAUAACUUGUCUGUCGGAACAUCUUCUAUUCCCUGGUCGGAAAGCAGAUCUCAACCAGGCACAAUGUAGAAUAUUUUAUGUCUGUUAUCUCGACAGACGGAGGCUAAAAGUUUGUUGAAAAAAAUAACUAGUUUGUAAGUUGAUUGUAUUUUUACGUAAGUGUACUGAGUAACUAAAAAAUAUCUGUUUAAUUUUAAACUCCUUGAUUAGAUAAUACUGCUCAAAAGCAAAUAAACAGCAAAUAAAUUAUUAUAUUCUAUUGUUACCGAUUUCGAUUUUUUGUUGCCGGUUUCGAUUUUUUACUGUUUGGGUUUAAUUUGUUUCCUUUUCAUUUUGUUUUUUUGUUUAAUAUUAAAUAUUAGAUACAAAUAAAUAAUGUCAUCGAUUUCUUAUCACUACACGUGGAAUAUCUAAGAAAAGUAUCGGUAUAUUAUUUUGCUUUUAUCCGAUAUGAUCUCUUCGUUCAUUUAAUAAAAUAAUUACCUCUUCAACCACGUAAAAACUAAAAUCAAUAAAAUAGACAGCUUAUGGUACCGAUUCCAGUACAGUCAUGACAUGAGCAAUAUCAUGUACCCAUUUCAGAACCCUGUCGCACUAUCAUAUUUGGCAUUUAAUAAGACUUACGCUUUAAUUUGUCAAAAAUGAUAAUGUGACAUGGUUUCAAAGUGUAUACAUAUUAGUACUCGUGACCGUACACACCAUAUAAGUUUAUUUUAAGUUAUAUUUGUCAUUUUCUUAUCCGCCGAAAAGGAAAGGGACGGGUAAUUUGACAGGCAAUUAAUGGAACAUACAGUCAAUUGUACAUACCGAAAUUUAAAAAUCGUCCCAAAUUAUUUUAUAUUUGCCAGAAUAACACGCUCUUUUGGGUCUGUUUUGGAUAGUGGUGUAAAUUAGCUAUAAGAACUUGUAAUAAUAAUAAAUAAAUAAAUAAAUAACCUGACAGAAUUAAGUUGACAGCACACGACACACGGGUGGCAUAUCAGCGCGGUGCCUAUUUUAUUUGCUCGGGUUAUACAUUAAUUAAUUUUAAAAUUAACAGUUGUCAAUGAUCCGUCCCUUUCCUUUUCGGCGGAUAAGAAUACCUCUCAUUUUCAUUUUCUUUUAUUUUAAGUUAUAACUUUAUAACUUAAAAUAAAAUUAGAUGGUAUCUACAGGAAUUAGCACUUACUUAUACCUAAUAUACGACUCAUGCAUGACUCGACUUUUAAGUUUGAAAUCAGGUUUGGAUUGGUAUCCACUUGGUUAUAUCACUUGGUUUCCAGGAUUUGUGGGGAUAGGCUCGCCUCCUAUUACACGGAACUUAAACCUAGCUGCCGAAUGUUUGAGUGUACACACUACGCACCUCUGCUUACCCUUUUGGGAAUACAGGCUAUAUUAUGUACAAUCAUUAUCUGUUUCACUAAUCUCUCCGAGUUUUAUUUUAAAAUGCAUAAGACGGUUUUUAUAUAUCUUUUGUUCAGUGUCUCAGAAGCAUAAUUAGGUCUGUUAAUUAACAACGAUGCUAGGAACUUCCCAUGACCACAAUGACCAUGUUAUCAUUAAUUUAGAUAAAAAAGAAUAAGCAUUCGUUCGUCUAUUUUAGUCUAAUUAAUUUUGUACCUACUAGAAGUAAAAGAUACUGUGAACAAUCCAUACAAAUAACGUAAAAAAUAACUUGAAAAAUGCUGAACCGACAAUUCCCUAAUUUGCAUGAUAGUUAUUCUAAUAAAAAGAAUUCUUGCAAUUAUAUACUAUCAAGUGACCGCUUAGGGCUCCAUGUUGUUUACUAGCAUCUAACGUAGUAUUAUUCCUUAUUUUAUGGUCUAAUAAAGGCUUCCUUCAUACAAAA